UCGAGGCAUAGUCUUUCCCCUGCUCUGGAUGUCCUCUACCUCGUAUCGCUUUCCCUUUGUCUUUCUUGAUUUGAUCUAAUGUAUCUUGUUGAAGGUUCUGCAGGACUCGAUCAUCUGCCCCGGUGUUCUUGGAUCUGUGAGUCGGCGAAUCGCAAAGUCUCGAUCGUGUGUAUGAUUCUUGGAUCGAUCGUCCGUGCUCAUAGAGACUGUGUUGAAUUCGAGACUGUUGACGCGUCUGAAUGACCUUAACCCUCUUUCCUUCUUGUCCGGAUUUGAGCAAGACAGAGGCGCAUGCUCUCGUCUUGAUGCUGAACGGAAGGUGAAUCCGAUCGUCCUUGCCCUCGAAAUGGUUUAUUCCAUUGGAUGGUUCUUCCCGUAGCCGUGAAUUUGAGUUGUCUUGUUGUUUCUCCUCUCUCGUUCUUUCUCUGUAAUGUUGUUUUACGCUUUCACUGUUCAGAAUGGUUCGGUUUCCCUCUCUCUCGAGAUCAAUCCGGUAAACUGCCGUGGUGCGUAUGAGGCCAAUGCAUCACGGCCGUUAAUUAGAUGGGGUAAACCGGGAUAAUCAAACCAUGGGUUUACAAUCCGUUGCUGUUUGCGAGCAGGCAGGAGACACAAGCAUGCUUGCGGGACCCACCCUAUAGAGUUCUUAUUUUAUUCGAAAUUUCAAAUACAUCCACAUGGGUUGAAUAAAUAAGACGGGUUCGUAAGCCGACGGGUCGGAUCGAGCGAUUUCUCGCCCGACCCAAAUCGGGCGCGCUUCCUUUCCCUAUAAAUAUCUGCGAGGAAGGCGGUUGUGUCGGUUCUUCCCCCCUUCUUUGAGGCAGAGCUCAGGGAGAGCGCAGGGUUACUACCUCCUCCCCCCCAAUGCCGAUCAACGACGGACCCGAGCAUGUGCCUCGUCGGGGUUCUCGGAUCGGCUUCAGAUUCGUGAUGUGUGUAUGAUCCAGACCCUAAAUCUUCUCUCCUCUCUAGAUGCUUUGUCUUCCGAUCGUAAAAGGAUGAUGAAAGGGUAGCUCGGUUAGGCAUCGAUAUCUUAUAUCAUCAGUUGCUUGAUUAUGAUAGCACAUCUUUUCUUUUCUUUUGAUGUUGUAUGUAUCAACAUCUUUGUGUCAGGUACUCUAGCAAAUUGUAUUUGUAGAGAUGAUACUGUAUCACCAAAGAAGUUAGUCUUGCAGGUGCAUGGGAAGUUUAUAAAUUUUAUUUGCUUCGUUUCUUGCUUA